GCUCAUUAAUUUCAAACUCUCAGUUCGUUGGGGAGUACGCACCGGUGUAUAAGGGGAAAUCGAAUGUGUAGAACAAAGGAACUUGGGCUGAGAACUAUCACUUUUCUGGGAUAAGCGUGGGUGGUGAAGAUUAUGGUGAAAUUGUUUGCGGCCAGCAUGAUGCCACCAACAACCAUUACGUAAAAACAGUGCAGACAAAAAAUGAUCUCGUAGGCGGGAGCGAUCUGAUCGUGAAGUUGCCAAUGAUUAUAUUUUUCGAGAGGGACGGCAUGAUAGCGUGAUAUGACAAUUCGCUUAUACCCAUGAAGGCUGCGUAUCAAAGGCUGAUCAAGCUCUGGUCCAUUAUCACGUUUCUAAUCAUGAUUUCGUGAUCAUCCUGAAUUUGCAACCGCCUUCAAUCUCUCUCUCUACGUGUUGAAUGCAACGUCUGAUCGCCGGUUCCUUUACGCCAAGCGUGUAAAGACCGAAAGGGAAGAUGACGAGUUACAAUACCACAGAACAGAUCAAGAUAAUUAUCGCGAAUACCGUUUUCUCCAGUUUGUUCGCGUGACGGGUAAACGAAAGG